AAAGAGUUUAUUCACCAAACUGGAAAUUAACAGGUGACAAAGUAACAAUAAAUUUAAAGGGUAACAAUAACAGUGGAAAAGGAAUAAAUUCUAAUCGAAAUGGUGAAUUUUAGUCAAUAAACCCCAUAGUGUACUUUUUUUCACAUCCCUGUUUCCAGGUCAGCUACAAUGGCUAUCAUUUUUCCUUGUCAUCAACUAUCAAUGUGUUCAUGAUGCACAUCUUAUAAUAAAGGGAAAGCCUUGUGUGUGUUUAGGAUUUCCACUUAUUUUCUGUUUCGCUUAAACUGGUCCAUCCAGUCUGGUUAAUUUUAAUAGGCUUGGGAGAUUUAAAUCACCUGAUCUGUAAUUAUAAUGAAACAUUAUUUCUCAUUGUCUUCCUUUCAACAUUAACAUCUAUUGUAUUUUUACAAGUGAUAAAU